rnacentral:rRNA from 1 species
CAUGCAAGUCAACUUGAAUUUGGGUUUUUAACUUAGAUUUGGGUGGCGGACGGGUGAGUAACGCGUAAAGAACUUGCCUCACAGCUAGGGACAACAUUUAGAAAUGAAUGCUAAUACCUGAUAUUAUGAUUUUAAGGCAUCUUAGAAUUAUGAAAGCUAUAAGCACUGUGAGAGAGCUUUGCGUCCCAUUAGCUAGUUGGAGAGGUAACAGCUCACCAAGGCGAUGAUGGGUAGCCGGCCUGAGAGGGUGAACGGCCACAAGGGGACUGAGACACGGCCCUUACUCCUACGGGAGGCAGCAGUGGGGAAUAUUGGACAAUGGACCGAGAGUCUGAUCCAGCAAUUCUGUGUGCACGAUGAAGUUUUUCGGAAUGUAAAGUGCUUUCAGUUGGGAAGAAAAAAUGACGGUACCAACAGAAGAAGUGACGGCUAAAUACGUGCCAGCAGCCGCGGUAAUACGUAUGUCACGAGCGUUAUCCGGAUUUAUUGGGCGUAAAGCGCGUCUAGGUGGUUAUGUAAGUCUGAUGUGAAAAUGCAGGGCUCAACUCUGUAUUGCGUUGGAAACUGUAUAACUAGAGUACUGGAGAGGUAAGCGGAACUACAAGUGUAGAGGUGAAAUUCGUAGAUAUUUGUAGGAAUGCCGAUGGGGAAGCCAGCUUACUGGACAGAUACUGACGCUAAAGCGCGAAAGCGUGGGUAGCAAACAGGAUUAGAUACCCUGGUAGUCCACGCUGUAAACGAUGAUUACUAGG